UUCUGCAAAUGCACCAGCCCAGCACUGUAGGCUGUUUAAAAACAAUGUAAAUAUACCUGCAACUUUUCCAGUGGGCCCCAGGCCCACAUUAAAGUGUGGUUCUGCCUCUGAAAUUGAUUCUGUAAUUAUGGCACUUUUGGAUUCCAUGUUUGUCUCUCAGUGACUCCAGAUCAGAUUUGAGCACUUUUCAAGUAAAAAGAUGUCCCGUUCCCUCUUUCCUCUCGAGGCCUCCAUUUUUGCUGGAGAUGCCUUCUCUUUGGAUUUGGUGUCCUACUUCUGUACCCAAGGCCAGUUCAUCUCCUGUUUAGAGAGGGAGAGCCUCACAGCUCUCUGUCAUGCUGACUGCAUCUUUUCCAGCACAAGAAUUGCCACUUUUAGGUCUGUAAUCGAGUGACAAAAGAGAUUGAAGUGUACAAGUAUACAAGUGUACAAUUGAACUCAUACAGAUAGAGACAGACAUCAUCUUCCUAUCCAAAUGCAAACAGAUGGACAUCAGACCAAAAGGACUGAAGGUAGGGAAGCACUGCAGAGACCCUGGCAGGAAUUGCAUCACACACAUCCCCCAAGAAAAGCAGAGGCAUGUUGGGCCGGAUUCUGCUCACACUAGUUUCACCCUCAGGGAUGAUUUCAGGGGAGAUUUCCUGAUUCGCACUGGUGUAAAGAAGAGGAGAAUCAGACCUGGAGUUUUCUGCAGGGAAGAAGCUUGGCUAAUCCCAGGGGCCUGAAGGAGGCAAAUCAUUAAAGAAAAGGAAGAAUUGGCCUCUUGGACUCCUUCUCCUUGAAGAUACCUACCUCCCAUACAAGCAUUGCCUCUCACUGGUCAGCUCUGUCUGGUAGUUGGUCCAAAGUAGGAGGAAUUAUUCAGCUAACACCUUGUGCCCCCAAAUGGCAACAGCACCAGAGAACAUGGCCAGGGAGCUUGGGACCCCAGCAAACUAUAAGAAUAAGACUUGCAAGGGUGGACUUGGUCCUGGAAAAUCGUGUUGAUCUAUUUUUUAUUCUGCAAAAUCCGGGGGCGAAGAGGGAGGCUGAGAUUUGGCUCCUACUAUAUCUGAACAAUCUUUAAAAAAGGGAAGAAGGAGGAUCCUGGGAACUACAGGCCAGUCAGCCUCACCUCAGUCCACGGAAAAAUCAUGGAGCAGGUCUUCAAAGAAUCAAUCCUGAAGCACUUACAUGAGAGGAAAGUGAUCAGGAACAGUCAGCAUGGAUUCACCAAGGGAAGGUCAUGCCUGACUAAUCUAAUCGCCUUCUAUGAUGAGAUUACUGGUUCUGUGGAUGAAGGGAAAGCAGUGGAUGUAUUGUUUCUUGACUUUAGCAAAGCUUUUGACACGGUCUCCCACAGUAUUCUUGUCAGCAAGUUAAAGAAGUAUGGGCUGGAUGAAUGCACUAUAAGUUACACCUGGGGAAUGCCUACUAAACAAGAUGCUUUCAUUCUAUACAGUGGAUGGGGAGUGGGCCAUUAGGAAAACAAUAGGCCUUAGGAAAAGCUUAUCUCCCACCUGGGAAGCCUUCCUGAGAAUGCUACAGAGAGCCUCUAAGUAAUGGCUGCUAGGACUCUACAAGGACAUGUGAUAAGACCAGAUGUCUCUAGACUCCAUCUUGGGAUGUCAAGUAAUUUUCCACAGGCCAAUCUGGGGACCAAGAUUUGAAACAAAGUGUUCCUGCUAUAUGCAAAAGCUAUAUAAGGCAGGGAGUGCCAUCAUCUGGGGUUCUUCACUUCCCACACAAGAAGACUCCUGGAAACACCUGAGGAACAAAGACUGAACUGGGGGAAGUGCUGGAUCCAUGCUAAAGGGAUUUUUAGCCUGUGAAUGGAACACCUGAGGAUUCCAAGCUGCAAGCAAGUACAGCUUGUGCCUUAAGAAUCUGCAGCCUGCUUGUAUCAUCUCUUAGGGAGCUCCAGUCAUACACCAGGACCCAAUUGUGCUAGGUGCUGUACCAACACAGAAGAAAAAAGACAAUCCUUGCCCCAAUACUGUUAUGAAUGAUAAGCCUGUGGACUUCAUAAAAGACCAGCUAUGGCUGUGGAAAUUGAACGUUUCUAGUGGCAAGAACAGCCAGCAACUUGAAAGAUCAGUUAUUCACUCAGCUGUAAUCACAGUGUACUUGGAAUGCUUCAGAAAAUGCACUGGCACGAAGCAAAGUGACAAUGUCCAGUAUGUGGUACAUCUACCAAAGCAAACUGGAUAUCCAGUAAAUCUGAGUUUAAAAGAGACAACUAGCCCUGGAUUUACGAACAGUCUGGCUACAUUUCAAAGACCAUCUUUUUCCACAGGCAACAGAGGUAACAUCUUCGGAGCUCUGUGCAAGCUUGAAAGCUUGUCUCUUUCACCAACAGAAGUUGGUCCAAUAAAAGAUAUUCCUCAUCCACCUUGUCUCUCUAAUAUCCUGGGACCAACAUAGCUAUCACAACAUGGCAUACAACAGUGGAAGAUAUCUUCUUACACAGACAUUUGGGGAGAAGGUGGACAGAGGGAGAACAAAAAUAUACGAUGUGAUUGCAGGACUCUUUAAUUACUUAAAUUGCUAAGUAGUUAAUUAUUAAACUCGCCUCAGCCACGAUAAUGACAAAAUGUUCAGCAACAGUUAGGCAAUUUCUGUGACCACUGCUCAAUAUGGGUCUCAUUGUUACUGUGGGCUCCCCUUGACUGGUUGUUGGAUUCAUCCAUUGUUUCUUAUCAUAUACUCAGAUUGUCUGAGCUCUUUGGGCCGGAUUUCUAUAGGUAUUUAGACCCCUAAAGGUGCAGACAGGUGCUUUUGAAAAUCCCACUAAGCACCUGUCUGCAUCUUUAGAUGCCUAAACACCUUUAAAAAUCUGUCCCUUUGCGAAAGGGAUCCUCUUUCAUUAUAAAUGUGUGCAGUGCCUAGCACAAUGGGGCUGAUCUCUGUUUGGGGCUUCUAGGGACUCUGAUCAUAACAAUUACUAAUAAAUAGCACUAGAUAAGUAAAAAUGCCAAUAAUUAAUUAACAGUGGCUAAUAAUUUGAUUGAUAUCAUCAAUCCAUUACUUAUUGGUUAACUUGUACUUGGCACUGUGCAUUUUAAGUCGUUGUAAAAGUACCCAGAGUGAUGUAUGGGCACUUAUUCUAAAUCGAAAUAAACUGACACUAAUUGAAAUACAGAGACACAAACUUGUGCAUACACACAGCAGUCAUAUAAAGUUUUACAGAGAGGAGCCAGCAACUGAAAAGCUCCAGAUUCAACAGUGCCCUCAGAGAGCAGAAACAACAAAAUCCUCCAUGACACCAAAAAGCAUAGUCACAGUAGCCACAGUAGAGAAGGCAACCUCUUACCGGCAGUAUCCAGAAUGACUAGCAAUAACGCUAAUAAUUCAUAAAAAGCUUGUAUUUCUGUAGUACCUUCCAUCUUAGGUUUGAAAAGCUCUUCACAAACGGUAACAAAAACAAACCUCUUAUCCCCAAAGUGAAGCAGGGUAGUCCAUCCCCGUUUUACAGAUGAGGAAACUGAGGCCCGGAGUGGGGAGUGGCGUGCAAAGUGAGUGCAAAAGGUUAUGUGGGUGUAAAAUGCUACCAUCUGAUGUGGUAGCAUGCUACACUUACUUUGCACUUCACAAAGGUGUGAAUCAUGACAGCCCUUGAAAAAGGAAAUGGAAAAUCAGACCCAAGGGAUUAGAAUCUCACAGCAAAUCUGAGGCAGAACCAGUAAUAGAGUCUUUGGGAUCAUUCCUGUUCUAUCACUAUAUCACACUCCCUGCUUUGAUUUUUUACUAAGAUUACAAGCAAAUUUGGAAUAACUAUUAUUUAACUGAGAGCUUCUACUCGCAGUUACAUAUUAACAUCACCACUGAAGUCAAUGGGGACAUUCAUGUUAUGUGUAAGUGAGAGUAGAAUAGGGCCUAGUAUCAUAAUAAUUUAAUUUUUUUAUUCUGUUCUAUAUAGAUGCUGAUACCAUACUCAUCACCUAAGCUGAGCACCUGAGUGGCCUAAAUUCUCCUGUACCAUAUUAAUAAACCUGACUGACAUUGGUUAUUUGGUCUCUUGAGUAUAUGUCAUAAUGAACCAAUGUGUGGUCAAGCAAUUGACUAUACAAUCUAUCAACAAGUUCACUUAUAUUCCUCAUUAUGGCAUCUUUAAGUGUUCAUCUGCCUACUUCCACACUCCUGGAUUUUAAUAUUUAAUUCUAUGGCACCUGAAAUUCCAGAAUGUUCUUUAUUGAAACCAGAUAUCCUGGUGCUAUUCUUUUAACCUAUGCAUUAAUACUAGAGCUCGUCAAUAUUUUCGUGUCAAAACAUUUUUGGAAAAUGGCUUUUUCGACUAAAUGAACAUUUUUGCAAAAAUGUCUGUUUUCAUAAAAAAAUUUACAUUGUCAGCAAACAAAAAUGAAAACAAACAUUUGGAAUCUUGGCUGCUGAUAAACAAAACCAUUUUCAUUUGGGGGUUUUCAAUAAAAAUCAGCACAAUUUUGAGGAAAACAAAAAAAAUAAUUUUCAUUGAAUUUUUUCAUGGGAAAAUGAUUUCCUAUCAGCUCUGCUUAAUACAUUAGAUUCAAAUAAAUAGAUAAUACUUAGUGCUGCCUUGAGUGCAGGGGUCCCUUCCAGUCUUACAUUUUUAUGAUUCUAUGAUUCUUUAAAUAAUCAUAAGCACCAAUCUUCUGUAAUGCCAUUACGUUCUCAAUUCAUUUCCUCUUUAUUCUCUUCUGGAUGGAUUCUUUCCUUUCUAUGUCACGUCAUUAAAUUGUCUUGUGUACAAUUCAAACCUCUGCAUAAAAAACAUCUUUGAUCAGUAUUUGUUACCCACAUGAUGUCUGAGUAAUUGUGCCCCCCCAUUAAGAGUCUGAUCCUGCUCCUGUUGAAGUCAAUGGCAAGACUCUCAUUAUCUUGAACAGGGCAGGGCCAAGCCGUAAGAUGGCAUCCUGGCUGCUUUCAACUUCUUUGUUAACUGGUUCCUCAUUAAUUGGUUUAGGAAUUCUAGGCCAGACCUUCAACUGUUGUAAAUCAGAACAGCUUCAUUGAAGUUAAUAUACCUACCCCAAUUUAUAUCAGCAGAGAUUCUGUCCUUUUUCUAUAAUAUGUUGAUUCAUUCAUAGUCUCUCUCUUUCUCCCCCACUCCUCCUGCCUUCCCUUUCUGCCAUCUCCCUUCAGUCUUAUUACAUAUGCCCACGUCAAUUAAGUUUCUCCUUUUUCUCAUUUCUUGUAUCCUUAUCACUGUAUUUUGCGGCUGCAUUAUUCAUUGUCAAGUUCAUAACUGGUCAAAUAAUUAUCUGAACUCUAUAUCAAUUUUUCCUUUCUUCCAUUAUUUGACACCUCCAGUCAAAUUUUAUCUCACUGAUUUUGUAAAUGCUUUUGAUGUAUAAUUCCACCUUUCCACCUUUUCUUCCCUUUCUACAAGAUCACUGCUGACAUUCCAUUUGUACCAUCCCAUCUGGCUUGUUAUGCCUCACUGCUACUCCUACUCCUACUCCUAGAUCCUACU